AGUGAACGCUGGCGGUAGGCCUAACACAUGCAAGUCGAACGGCAGCACAGUAAGAGCUUGCUCUUACGGGUGGCGAGUGGCGGACGGGUGAGGAAUACAUCGGAAUCUACUUUUUCGUGGGGGAUAACGUAGGGAAACUUACGCUAAUACCGCAUACGACCUACGGGUGAAAGCAGGGGAUCUUCGGACCUUGCGCGAUUGAAUGAGCCGAUGUCGGAUUAGCUAGUUGGCGGGGUAAAGGCCCACCAAGGCGACGAUCCGUAGCUGGUCUGAGAGGAUGAUCAGCCACACUGGAACUGAGACACGGUCCAGACUCCUACGGGAGGCAGCAGUGGGGAAUAUUGGACAAUGGGCGAAGCCUGAUCCAGCCAUACCGCGUGGGUGAAGAAGGCCUUCGGGUUGUAAAGCCCUUUUGUUGGGAAAGAAAAGCAGCAGGUUAAUACCCCGCUGUUCUGACGGUACCCAAAGAAUAAGCACCGGCUAACUUCGUG
rnacentral:rRNA from 1 species